GGGAAGUUUUCAUCUUUCUUUUCUAAACUAAAGUACUGAACUCACAAUCUGCACAGAUGGAUGGCCUCUUUCUCUUGAUGUUAGUUGUCGGACUCUCCACGGACUUGGUAGAAGGGUAUGCAUAUAGCAUUCGUAUCGACGAGCACGAAAGAGCCUGCUUUGGACAUGAUUUGAAAGAAGGAUCUGGCGAGGUUUACGUUGAUUUACAGGUGAGUAAAGGUGGAGACACUGAUAUUAACUGGCAGUUGUUUGAUCCAAAUGGAAAUGAAUUACAGUCAGGACACAGGUUAACACAGCAAGCCAUUUUUUUAAUGUGACAGUUGGAGGUGCUUAUCAAAUCUGUCUUGAUAACACUUUCACCAGUGAGUACAAAGUUGUCACAUUAGUUCUAGAGAAUGACCUUCCAGAUGAAAUGCAGAUGCUGCUUGGUAAGAUAGCAACAAAUGAUCCAAAUCUGCCACAGGGAUUCAAGGAAAAAUGGGAAGGGCUUAUGAAAAAUGCAGAGAAGUUGAUGGAAUUUCAUGAAAUACAUGCUGCAAAGCAGAAACGCCAUUAUUUUUUGGUUGACAGCAAUUUAUCAAGAGUCAAUGGUUUCUCCCUUUUGUCAUGUUU